AGUUCGGACUAUUUUUCAGGAGAUAGCCGGUGACGACAUGGAGAUCACAGCUAAUGAGCUGAGAAACGUUCUCAACAGGGUGAUCACCACGCAUAAGGACCUGAACACGGAGGGCUUCAGCCUGGAGAGCUGCAGGAGCAUGAUUGCUCUGAUG